rnacentral:misc_RNA from 1 species
AAAUAAAUGAAUAAAUAAAUAAAAUAAUAAAAAAAUCCACAUAAUUCAAUGAUAACUACACAAGACAGCAUCACUUCAAACACUGGUCAAUUUAACCAGCAUAAUGUAUAAUUAAAGAUUUAUUUUCACAGCUUAAAAUGCAACAAAAGUCAGAUAAUUGACAAAAUUAUUUCAAAACACUUCACUUCAAUCUUAUACCUGGAUUUCAAAGAAAAUUUUUUUCCAACAGCCACAAU